GAAAUGCGAUAAGUAGUGUGAAUUGCAGAAUUUAGCGAAUCAUCGAAUCUUUGAACGCACAUUGCGCCCCUUGGUAUUCUAUGGGACAUGCCUGUUCGAGCGUCAUUUCAACCCUCAAGCACUGCUUGGUGUUGGGCGUUUGUCCCGCCUACGCGCGUGGACUCGCCUCAAAGUCAUUGGCAGCUGUUCCCCUUCGGCUCGUAAGCGCAGCACAGUCGGCGCCCGGAGCUCUGGUGGGAUGGCGUCCAGCAAGCUAUAUUUUCAGGCUUGACCUCGGAUCAGGUAGGGAUACCCGCUGAACUUAAGC
rnacentral:misc_RNA from 1 species